rnacentral:RNase_P_RNA from 2 species
GCGGAGGGUCGGACGGCCGCGGGGGCCUCCGGGUCUUCGAGGAAAGUCCGGACUCCCGUCUGGCACGGUGCCGGGUAACGCCCGGCCGGGGCAACCCGAGGGAAAGCGCCACAGAGAACAGUCCGCCCGGCACGUCCGGGUCAGGGUGAAACGGUGGGGUAAGAGCCCACCGCGGGACGGGCAACCGGACCGGCACGGCAAGCCCCACCGGGAGCAAUGCCGAAUAGGGGCCUCGCGCGGAGGGUGACUUCCGCAGGGACGCCAGACCCCGAGAGGCCCGGGUUGGCAGCUGGAGGCACGCGGCAACGCGUGCCCGAGAGGAAUGGUCGUCGCUCCGGGGCGUGUCUCCGGAGGCACAGAAUCCGGCUUACAGACCCUCCGCGCAC